GGGGUUGUAGUGUAAGGGUAUCACAACACGUUGUGGCCGUGUUAAUCUGAGUUCGAGUCUCAGCAACCCCA